GACGAACGCUGGCGGCGUGCUUAACACAUGCAAGUCGAACGAUGAACCCGGAGCUUGCUCCGGUGGAUUAGUGGCGAACGGGUGAGUAACACGUGAGUAACCUGCCCUUGACUCUGGGAUAACUGCGGGAAACUGUAGCUAAUACCGGAUACGACCCUCGGCGGCAUCGCCAGGGGGUGGAAAGAAUUUCGGUCAAGGAUGGACUCGCGGCCUAUCAGCUAGUUGGUGAGGUAACGGCGCACCAAGGCGACGACGGGUAGCCGGCCUGAGAGGGUGACCGGCCACACUGGGACUGAGACACGGCCCAGACUCCUACGGGAGGCAGCAGUGGGGAAUAUUGCACAAUGGGCGCAAGCCUGAUGCAGCAACGCCGCGUGAGGGAUGACGGCCUUCGGGUUGUAAACCUCUUUUAGUAGGGAAGAAGCAAAAGUGACGGUACCUGCAGAAAAAGCACCGGCUAACUACGUGCCAGCCGCCGCAGUAA
rnacentral:rRNA from 1 species